AAAUGGUAGGCACUAGACUCUAGUUGAUGAAUAUAUCGUACUCGACACAUGUCUCGAUGCAAUUCAGACACAGGAAAAAUGGGGGAGCAAUCAAGUCUUUUGCAGGUGGGUUUCGAACUACUACUGUUUGCUUGAAACCUACCACAGACAUCACAUUAAGGCUAUAACACUAUAUUCCUGAAUUUCCUUAUUAUAUGCAACUCCGUAACAUUAUGAUCACCGGUUUUAGUUAAAUUAUGGGAAGUAUCACAAUAUUUAUCUACUUUAUUUGCAAAAUCAGCUUAUUUCAAAUCCAUAAAAUAUUUUACUGACAAUGUUAAACAUGAGUCUUGUCUUUCCUUUCUUUUUAAAUUAUAAACAGCUUAGUUUUAUGAAGGAGAGCGCUUUGCAAAUCCUUACGACGAAAAGCCAGAGUAAUAAAUGAAAGGUUGAACAAGAAAUUAGAUAAUAAAUGCAGUCCUAUAAAAAAGAAAAUCGAAUUUAAUUAGCGGUUAGAAGUUACCAGAUGGUUAAAUAUUAACAUAAUAAAACAUUGUUAUACCAUAAGCUGUUGCUAAUACUCCUGUGGCAUGGCGCUUUUAGCGACAGUUAAACAUUUUGACCAGCAGCUGUCAGGGCUGCGUCAUUUUUAACAGUAGUAGAUACUUUCGACCCUUCAAUUCCCACUCGAUGCAAUUCAAAGCGAGUUCAAAUUACAAAUAAUUCAGGUAUUUUUUUGGUUAACAAGCUAAUAAUAUUUGUGAAAUUUUUAUAGGAAACAAUUUUGUUCGGAAACUUUACAUGGCUGAAAACCAUUCUCACACUGAAAAGCUUUUAGCCUUGUUUGGAUGUUUGGAUGGAGAGAAAGAGAAAAAAAUAAACGAAUGAAAGAAAAAAAGAAAAAAAAAGAAAAAGAAAAGAAAAUUGAAUAAGAGGAGGAAAAGUAGAUCAAAGAAAUACGAAAGAAAGAGAUAAUUAUAAAAGUCUGCAUGGACAGAAAGGGAAGAAAAUAUUAAAAUGAUAUUUGAUAAAAAAAAAAGAAACAAGAGAAUUUAAGUUAAUGUACAAUAAUGGCCAAGACUUUGAAUUUAAGUUAAUUUAUCUUCAUUUUUUGUUUGAAUGAAAAAUAACCAAAUAAUCGAUGUCACCACUCAAGAUUCUAAACCAUGCAACCAAAUCAAAUCCUCGAUGUCACCGUUCUUACCCUAGAUCAUGGAGUAAUGCAGCAGGGUUGAGUUUCAGUCCAUAACCUUGACACCGUUCAUAGAAUCUCGUCUCAACGUGAUGGUUUCUCCAGCUAUUGCAUGCAAGAAACAAGAAGAUCCACCCGGGAAAAGCUCCAUCCAGUUUUUGCCCACAAAAAUUUCAUGCAGGAGAUUUUUUCCCUUCAUUCCAAAAUCGAUUUGUGUUUGCUGGACAUAAUCCGAAACGACGGCCAUUCCAAGCCGUAUCUCCUCCAGGCAUUUCAUCAAACACUUACAGCGCACCCUUCAACGUCACCAUUCUCCAAACAGGAAGCCAACAUUGCUGUCCAUGUCCCAGCCAACAAUACAUUGGCCAUUGCUCGUUGAGUUGACAACAAAAAGAAGUAGCAAUUUCUUGCAAUCGACCUGGUUCUUCUUGGGAGAAAGGCUCCCUUACCGGAGCACCCCUUUUCAGAAUCAGAGUUGCUGUUGAGAGAAACCGCCGCGCGUAAUUCCGGUGGCAACAGAGUGGCCCUAGAGAGGAGGCCAAGCACGGGACGGGAAGACCGGGCGCCUGCCUCGUCGCGCAUUAUUUCCGGUCCUCGAUCAGAAGACCGAUCAUUUGCUGCAACUGUGGAACCUUAUCGUCUCGCUCAGCAUGAGAAGACAGCCUCAGGCAAUGAAGCUUGGAGGCAAUGCCCGCGGCUCUGCAUGGAGGUGCUUGGGCCGUCCGAUCCUAUGGCGGAAGCCAUUGGUGCACGCAGAAAGGAAUCGGGCAAAAGAAUUUCCGUGGAGAAAAGUCGAACACCUUCUUGUGGUCCGAUUUUUUUCUUCGAGGAUGUCUUUCCCCAUCCCACUGGGUUUUGGAAAAACUUUGGUGGAUUGAUGUGCCCGGGAGAAAAAAUCGUCAAAAAUGAGGAAAAAGUCUGUGAACGACUUCGUCUUCUUUUCCUUUUCCCUGGCGCAUCAAACAGGGCCCUAUUGGAAAGGUUAUUCAAAAAGUGUUGCCAUUGCCGUAAAGCGUCCGCUUGUGUGACUCGACGCCUGCGCUUCGUUUCGGGUCGAGGCAUUAGACCCGAACCGAGAGUCGAACGUCCCAAGCCGUUAUGGCGGGAAACCCUUCUGCCGCCCCAGAGCAGAGGCCCUUAGUUCCGACUCCAUCGAUCAAAAUUCUUCCGCUCCCAGUAGCUAGGGUUUCUGCAGCUCCAAAUUAGAGAAGAAGAAGAAGAAGAAGAAGAAGAAGAAGGGAAGAGAUGCCUAGUUACAAGAUCAGGGGGGUCGACGUGGAGUUCCCUUUCGAUGCCUAUGAUUGCCAACUCGUGUACAUGGAAAGCGUCAUCCGAUCCUUGCAGGAGGGAUGUAAUGCAUUACUGGAGAGUCCUACUGGAACUGGGAAGACCUUGUGUUUGCUUUGUGCAUCAUUGGCUUGGAGGCAAAGUCUAAGUUAUUCAUCGAUUCAUCCUGCAUUGGUGGGGAAAAAUGGUGGGAAUACUAUCAACAAACCUUCAACUGAAUCUUCUGAAAGAAAGCUACCAACCAUAAUUUAUACUUCAAGAACACACAGCCAAUUACGUCAAGUCAUCCAGGAGCUGAAAACAAGCCCUUAUAGGCCCAGGAUGGUUGUCCUAGGUUCUCGAGAGCAGAUGUGUAUACAUGACAAAGUGAAAAAUCUUCAUGGAAGAGUCCAAAACAAUAUUUGCUAUUCUCUUUCCAAGAAACGUCGUUGUUACCAUUACAAUUGUGUGUCUGAUUAUAUCAAGAAUAAUCCAAACAUUGGAGCUGAACCUGUUGAUAUAGAGGAUUUGGUGAAUAUAGGGAGGACAAAUGGGCCGUGCCCAUAUUAUUUGUCAAGAGAACUUCACAAAGCUGUUGACAUUGUAUUUGCUCCUUAUAAUUACCUUAUUGAUCCUGGAAAUCGCAGUUCUCUCACUGGUAUUCAGUGGGAGAAUACAAUACUCAUAUUCGAUGAAGCCCAUAAUUUGGAAAGCAUUUGUGCAGAUGCUGCUUCAUUUGAUUUGACCUCAGGUCAUCUUGCUGCAUGCAUUUCUGAAGCAAAGGAAUGUGUGGAACUUUCUCUUUCAAGAAGGUCAAUUGAAAAGUUCGAUGACAAACAUUUGGACCCUGAGAACUUUGCCAUUCUUAAAGCUCUUUUGCUUAAGCUGGAGAAGCAAGUGAAGGAAUUGCCUAUUCAGUCAAAGGAGUUGGGUUUCACACAACCAGGGUCAUAUAUUUUUGACUUUCUUGGAAAUCUUAACAUUACUUAUGAAACAUCAAAUAUGCUUAUUGAUACGAUUGAGCAUGUGGCAGUACUCCUUGAGGAUGCUGCGAACUUGGCUGCCAAUGUAAUGGAACAAAAGAAGGAUGGUAUUUGCAGGCUUGAAAGCCUAAGGGAUUUUCUUAAACUUAUCUUUAGAGAUGGAGACAAAGGACAUGGAGCUUACUACCGUUUUCAUGUGCAUGAGUCCGAAAUAAAUGGCAAUGGGUCUCUAAAAGGUGAAAAUACCAGGACGCUUAGCUGGUGGUGUUUUAAUCCGGGAAUUGCCAUGGAAGAGUUUGUUAGGCUAGGGAUUCACUCUAUUAUCUUGACUUCUGGUACAUUGUGUCCAAUGGAAUCAUUUGCUCUAGAACUCAAUCUGCCAUUUCCGGUUAGACUGGAAAAUCCUCAUGUUAUUUCCCCCAGUCAAGUUUGGGUUGGAGUUAUACCUGCUGGUCCAUCUGGUUCAAUAUUUAAUUCCUCUUAUCGAAAUCGUGACUCAUCAGAAUAUCAACAAGAGCUGGGUAAUGCAGUUGUAAACUUUGCCCGGAUUGUCCCUGGGGGACUUCUUGUAUUCUUCCCAUCUUACUAUGUCAUGGACAAUUGCAUCAAGUCUUGGCAAAGCAUGAGUCAUGGAAGCACAAUGAAUUCACUUACAAUCUGGGAAAGGAUUUCUAGACAUAAGCAGCCCGUCAUUGAGCCCAGACAGUCUGCACUUUUUCCAAAUGCAAUCGAGGAUUACAAGGCUAAGUUGAACAAUAAUUCAGCAUCUGGUGCAGUAUUUUUUGCUGUGUGCCGUGGGAAGGUAAGUGAAGGCUUGGACUUUGCUGACAAUGCUGGGAGAGCUGUCAUCAUUACUGGUAUUCCAUAUGCUAUGAGGUCUGAUGCUAAGGUCCGCUUGAAACGUGAAUACCUGGAUUCACAGGCUUCAUCACAAAAAAGAAAUGCUAAGGUUUUGACUGGAGAUGCAUGGUAUGACCAACAAGCUGCACGGGCAGUGAAUCAAGCAAUUGGUCGGGUGAUCCGGCAUCGUCAUGAUUAUGGUGCAAUUAUUUUUUGUGAUGAAAGGUUUUCACAAUACAAUCGUCAGCGUCAGUUGCCACUUUGGCUUCAACCUCAUGUUAAGUGUUACUCAAAAUUUGGAGAUGCAGCCUUUACAUUGACACGUUUUUUCCGUGAUAUUGGAACAUUAAAUCAAGUAAGCGUCCGACUGAAUGCCAAGCCAAAAGCAGACUCUACUCCUGAUUUAGGUAUAGAUAUCACGGUCUCUUUGAAGGAAAAAAUUGACGAGGGACCAGCUGUUGUUGGUGGAGACAAAGAUAUACAAGUGGCUUCAGAGCUCUCAAAGCUGACACCUGGGACUUGCUGCAUUGACGCAAAAAUGGAGCAGCAUUCAAAUAUGAUAUUGUCUUCAAAAGCUAUUGUACCUUUGAAGAAUUAUGAAGCAGUUGACCUGUCAAAUGAAGACUCUGUGGGUGAACAAGUGACACCGGAUAAGGUACAAGAUCGUGGAGGUCUGAGAAAAUGUCAAUGCCUGAGAAAGAAAGUGGUCAUUGUUGUAGAGAAGAGAGCAGCCAGCAUGCUUCCACCAGUACAGAGAUGACAGUGGACUUAGAAAAUGUUAGUCGAACCAACACUAGUCAUAAAUCUACAACUCAUGGUGAUGAGAAAGCUACAAAAGCAUCUGACUUUUUAAAGCAGGUAAGGAACACAUUAUCAAGUUCAGAAUAUAAGGAAUUUGUGGAAUUUUUGAAGGCAUUACGGUCAAAAUCUAUGAAAGCAAGCUCUGUGCUAGAAUCUGUUGCCAUGUUAUUCUCUGCACCAGAAAGGCUUUUUCUUC